rnacentral:lncRNA from 1 species
UGUUGUCACUUGUCCAGCAGGCCACCAGCCCAGUCCACCUCUACGGCCCGAAUCUGUUCCGAUAGCCCAGCCGUUUACUAUAGCGUGGUUCAAGCCCAAUUGGCCGCAGAUCCUAUUACAGGCCCGAUCCAGCAUCUUCUUCAGCCCAUUCCAGAAACUCAGAAGGUCUUUGUGCUGCAGUUCAAGGUCUACAGCUCCAGCUAACUUCGUCCGGUGCCAAUUUCGUGUUCGAGACUCUACAACGG